rfam:Aedes albopictus isolate Foshan contig5787, whole genome shotgun sequence.
GUCCAGUUAGCCUAGUGGUUAAGGCUAAGGAUCGCCAAUCCGGAGACGGCGGGUUCAAUUCCCGUUCCGGUCG